rnacentral:lncRNA from 1 species
GUUGGGUAACUUCCCUGUGCUUGAGAAACGCUAGAAAAACGCAUGCUUCCAUGGUUUUCUCUGGUUUUUAUACAUUCUGAGCAUCCAGCUCUUGUGAAUUGGCAACACCUGUGUAAACGAAAUUCAGUUGAUGGUGGUGGUGAUGAUGGUAGUGAUGAUGGUGGUGAUGAUGGUGGUGAUGAUGGUAGUGAUGAUGGUGAUGAUGAUGGUGGUGAUGAUGGUGGUGAUGAUGGUAGUGAUGAUGGUGGUGAUGAUGGUGGUGAUGAUGGUG